CCCGGAAGAAGAAACCGCAGCGCGGCGUCGCCUUCGGGCGCACCCGAGUGGGUUGGUUCCCGGGCAGGCGUGUCCUCCGUGAGAGAGCAGGCAGUCAGGAAGGGACGAUGGAUAUAAAGAGAGAGAGCGAAGACAGGCUGGGACCCAGGAGGACAUACCAGAAUUCAUGUCAGUCUCCUACGCCCCCAACUCCAAUAAUGGGGAGUCCUCCAGGUAAAGUUUGUGUCCCUUGUCACUGAAGGAAACCUACACCUGGAACUGGGAGCUGAAGGAGGAGCCCACACCAAGGAGGGGAGCUGGAAGGUAUCCACUCUGGUCGUUGUCUAUGAACCGAAAGACAUCCUUCACCUGACUGGCUGACAUCUUGGAGAGGCCUGAUGUCUGGAAGAAUUUUUGGGGCUCAAAAGUAUCUGGGUCUGAAGAACAGAGAAUGGGUUAUUCUGGUGCUCACGGGACUGCAUCCUGUGUUUGGGUCAAGAUGCUGAAAACAUGGGUUAUUAAAAAUAAGAGUAUCAUUGAGCCACAGGGAUGCUCUGCUCAAAAAAAAUAAAUCUUUUGAAAGACAAAGAGGGCUGUGACUGGUUCAAGAUUCUUAAGCAGCCAAGCCUGGAUAGCUUUGGGUAUCGUCUCCUGCCCCCGCCCCCAGUUUUCCUCUCCACUUGGUUUGCCCCUCUCUCCUCUGCUCCCCUGUGCCUCCCCUGCCCAUUUUACAGCGGUGUCUCCAAGACCCCGGCACCCCUGGUCUCCUCCGGGAGGGAAAAUGCAAUUGUUGGAGUCAAAUAGGUACAUAGCAGCCAAUGACCUCUUUUCUCGCUGUGAGUUUCUUUCGCCUUACGGAAAUGAGAUCUCAUGUCCCUAUAAUCUUAGUUAAUCAAGAACAGUUUUAUUCUCUGAUCCCAUGAACUUUCGGCAAAGUUCACAUGUUAAUUUUUUGGGACUUUGCCGGAAGUGCGAGUACAAGGGAAAA